UAGGGAAUAUUGGACAAUGGGUGAGAGCCUGAUCCAGCCAUGCCGCGUGCAGGAAGAAGGCGUUAUGCGUUGUAAACUGCUUUUUGCCAGGGGAUAAAAAGACCGUGCGCGGUUAAUUGAAGGUACCUGGUGAAUAAGCCACGGCUAACUACGUGCCAGCAGCCGCGGUAAUACGUAGGUGGCAAGCGUUGUCCGGAUUUAUUGGGUUUAAAGGGUGCGUAGGUGGCCCUGUAAGUCAGUGGUGAAAUAUCUCAGCUUAACUGAGAGGGUGCCAUUGAUACUGCAGGGCUUGAGUACAGAUGAGGUAGGCGGAAUUGACGGUGUAGCGGUGAAAUGCAUAGAUAUCAAGAGGAACACCUGAGGUGAAGACGGGUUGCUGGGCUGACACUGACGCUGAGGCGCGAAAGCAAGGGGAGCAAACAGGAUUAGAUACCCCAGUAGUCCCUGAGCGGGCUGGCAAGGCGCAU
rnacentral:rRNA from 1 species